ensembl:rRNA 5S_rRNA 5S ribosomal RNA
GCUUACGGCCAUACCACCCUGAGAACGCCCGAUCUCGUCUGAUCUCGGAAGCUAUGCAGGGUCGGGCCUGGUUAGUGCUUGGAUGGGAGACCGCCUGGGAAUACCAGAUGCUGUAAGCU